rnacentral:ribozyme from 1 species
AAAUGGAGAUGCUGGAGAUACCAUCUUUACCUCUCUUCCUGUUCAUCCAUUUCUUGUUUUCGGUUUUAUUGUUUGUCUUUUUGUAUGGGUAUUCUACAUUCUUGUGAAACCGGCCAAUGAUGUCGAAG